rnacentral:rRNA from 1 species
CAGCCGCCGCGGUAAUACCGGCGGCCCGAGUGGUGGCCGCUAUUAUUGGGCCUAAAGCGUCCGUAGCCGGGUUGGGAAGUCCUCCGGGAAAUCUGGCCGCUUAACGGUCAGAAUGCCGGAGGAUACUCCCAGCCUAGGGAGCGGGAGAGGCCGAGGGUAUUCCCGGAGUAGGGGUGAAAUCCUAUAAUCCCGGGAGGACCACCUGUGGCGAAGGCGCUCGGCUGGAACGCGUCCGACGGUGAGGGACGAAGGCCAGGGGAGCAAACCGGAUUAGAUACCCGGGUAGUCCUGGCGGUAAACGAUGCGGACUUUGUGUCGGACAAGCUAUGAGCUUGUCCGGUGCCGGAGGGAAACCGUUAAGUCCGCCGCCUGGGGAGUACGGCCGCAAGGCUGAAACUUAAAGGAAUUGGCGGG